GACGAACGCUGGCGGCGUGCUUAACACAUGCAAGUCGAACGGAAAGGCCCUGCUUUUGUGGGGUGCUCGAGUGGCGAACGGGUGAGUAACACGUGAGUAACCUGCCCUUGACUUUGGGAUAACUUCAGGAAACUGGGGCUAAUACCGGAUAGGAGCUCCUGCUGCAUGGUGGGGGUUGGAAAGUUUCGGCGGUUGGGGCUGGACUCGCGGCUUAUCCGCUUGUUGGUGGGGUAGUGGCUUACCAAGGCUUUGACGGGUAGCCGGCCUGAGAGGGUGAACGGCCACAUUGGGACUGAGAUACGGCCCAGACUCCUACGGGAGGCAGCAGUGGGGAAUAUUGCACAAUGGGCGGAAGCCUGAUGCAGCAACGCCGCGUGCGGGAUGACGGCCUUCGGGUUGUAAACCGCUUUCGCCUGUGACGAAGCGUGAGUGACGGUAAUGGGUAAAGAAGCACCGGCUAACUACGUG
rnacentral:rRNA from 1 species